UACGGAGGAUGCAAGCGUUAUCCGGAAUGAUUGGGCGUAAAGCGUCCGCAGGUGGCUGUGUAAGUCUGCUGUUAAAGAGUCUAGCUCAACUAGAUACAAGCAGUGGAAACUACACGGCUAGAGUACGUUCGGGGCAGAGGGAAUUCCUGGUGUAGCGGUGAAAUGCGCAGAUAUCAGGAAGAACACCCGUGGCUAAGGCGGUUCUCUAGUACGGUACUGACGCUGAGACGCGAAAGCGUGGGGAGCGAACAGG
rnacentral:rRNA from 1 species